CCCCCGACCAGAAACCGCUUUCAGAGACUUGUGUAAAUGCUGGUCUGCCAGGCGGAUGUCUAAGAAACAUCGGCAGAAGAUCCUCAUAAUGCAUCUGGAAAAAGAGACCGCACAAUCUUAAUACUCACCAUGCAAAAAACGAAAAGGAUCCAGUACUAAAGACAGACACGCUCCAGUAAUCAGGGGCCAACCCACAAGCAGCCAUCAUGGCACCACCUCUCCAAAACCGAAAGCCCAACUGACCAUGCCCUCAACUCCAACUGUACUGAACAGGAGGAACAUUCUGGCGAAGUCUAAAAAUUCAGUAGAACAAGAGCUUGAGAAAAUGCAAGUGCUUCAGAAGGAAAUGCUAGAGAGUCUCAAGAAAAAUGAGCAUUCCAUGAAAGUUGCCAUAUCUGGAGCAGAUAGCCUUUCUGGUUCCAUGAUUCAAGACGGC